UUAUCAUGGUAUUCACUUUUCAAUGUUUACCGGCAUAAAUGUAAUCGACGAGACGACGACCGUCAAUUUCAGCUUUUUUUACUUACUGCUUGAAAGUUGAACUGUGUUUGUGUUAUAAUUUAUAUUCUAUAGGUAGAUACAAUUAAACAAUGGUUAAUUUUUGCUGUGCUUUUCAUUACUCCGGUAUAAGUGACGUCAUAAAAGAAUUAAUAUUUCAAAAGCUUCCACUCAAUGAUGGUGAAGGUUAAAAAAAAAUGGGUACAUGCUGUCAGAUGGACAAAUUUCAAACCAAAUUGUGGUUCAUUUUUAUGCAGUCUACAUUUGUAAAUGAUAACAAUAAAGCAGUUGUAAAAGGUUAGGUUGCUGGUUUAGUUGCCAAAGGUGAAAGAAAGGCGAAUUCUGCAACGAUCUGUGGAAAUUCAAGAUGAAUUAAAACCAGUUCAAAGUACCUAGUACAAAUGUGCAUGCUUCAGAUGGCACAAAAAGGAUGUUUUGUUGAAACAAAACUAACUGGUGAAGAGUUGAAUAAUACAAUAUUUGAUUUACACCAAGAAAAGAAAAUACUGCAACAAAAACUUAUGAGAAGAGAUAAUCGAAUUAUGAUUUUAUAUGCCAAAAAAGUACACUACCUGAUCCGUCCACAAUCCGUAGGUGGUUGGCAACAGGACCCUGAACCCCUGAUGUUUUAUGUGAAGUCAUAGGAUAUUUUAAACACAAACUUAAAACUUGUGGCAACUGUAUCUUGGUGGUAUUGCUCAUACAGAUACUAGAAAUUUAGCUAAAGAAUCUUUAGUAUUCAUUAUUAGUAGUCUGAUAAAGAAAUUCAAGUGUUUAAAUUAUACUGUACAGAGUCAGUUGGUACUUGCCGUUAUUUCAAAUUGAUGAUGAAGUAUAUUGUAUUCAGCCAUCAGGACAAUGGACUGUUGAUAAAGAAGAAAAAUUUGCUUCCUCUUCUGAUUCAGAUUAAGAGAGAGAUACAAGACUACAUGUUGAUAUAAAACCAUUCAGCAAUGGGGCAGGCCCAAUCAGUGCAAGUGUUGAUGUAUUAAGAGCUACUGUUGAAAACAUAUCAUUAUUACCAUUAGGAACACAUACUUUAAAGUUUUUUAGAUCUAGGCGACUUGUUUUUUUAUGUUGGAGAUGCUCAAUAGUCCGCUCAAAAACAGGGCCCUCCAUCAACCACUUCUCCGGUGUGUUCUAUUUCUGUUCCUGGUCCUCCUUCACGGCAUGAGAACAAUGGACCUCGUAAUCAACUUAGUCCAAUAAGUAUUGGCAGAACAGAUAGUGUAUCAAGUAUUGAUUUUCAAUCGUCUGGAGUUAUAGGAUCUUGAGAUCCAUCUCUAUUAACUAUUAGAUUAUGUGAUUCUAUUACACUGGCUGUUGCUUUUCAUGAAAUAAUCCAUGCAUAUUUCAAAGGAUUAAAUGAAUAAAAAGGUAUUGCAAAUAAUCCGAAACGAGCGAAAUUAACGUUUCGAUUGAGGAAACACAUUGUUUACAUGGGUAAAAUAUAUUCUUCCGAACUAACAAUUAGUCUUAACGUAAGGAAAAAUUGUAUUAAAUAUAAAAAAUACAAGUGUUUUCAAUAUUUUUUUUUCAGUGAUAAUUUAUUCAAAAUUCUAAUUUAUAUAAAAUCCUAUUGCAUCUUAUUUUAAUAUUGAUAUUCUUAAAUAUCAAGUUAGUUAUAUUAAUGUCAUGAUAAUUAAUCGAACAUUUUUUAAUUUUUUAUUGUAUGUUUUAAGUAAAAUUGCUCAUUACUGCAGCCGCUUCAUGUUCGUUCCAAUUAGUUUCAUUUUACAAAUGUAGCAAUACUCAUACGGACCUUAAAAUUGGCUGCAAGUUUAAUAGUCACUUCAUGAGUGUUUCUUCACCUUUACUGAAUGUUACUGCUUCUACUAAUUUUAAUUUAGCUAUACAUAAUAUGCAGUCUAAGCCAACUGCUGAAUGGGCAUUUGAUACAAAAACAGUUAGUUGGAAGUUUGCAGAACUCGCUCAAUAUUCUGAAAGUCAAGGUUCCGGUUCACUAAAAGCAAGAUUUAAGAUUGACAGCUUAUGCCCAAUAUCAACCAUAGUAACUCAAUUCAACAAUACUACAUUAUCGGGACUAAAAUUUGAGCUAGCAAGUAGUGGUUAUAGAGUGUCAUUAAUCAAAAUAUGUUUCGUUGCUGGUAAGUAUGUAUGUGUAUUAUACCAGGUACAAAAAGCUCUACUCAACAUUCCACUGUGUCAUCAGAUUGUGAAUUAUCAGUUUAUUUAUUAUAUAUUUCCAUUUAUAUUUUUUAUUUUAUUUAAACUCGAGUAUUAUAAUCUCAAAAUAUCUUUUUUGUUGACUAUGUUUUUCUUCAUUAUUUUAGUUUAUAUUUAUUAUUUUGAUAAAAUAAUUGACACUUAAAACUAACUUCAGCUUUUAAAUAUUAUGUGAUUUUGCCUUAAUGCGGAAUUAUAAAAACUAUUAGUAAUUAUCAUGCUAUUAAAUAAAAUUGUCUGCUAGUAAUUUUACAGUAUUAUCUACCAUUUUUAAAUUAAACAUUUUUUUUAAAAAAAACCAAUGUAAUAAGAAUGAUUUUUAAUAUUUAUAUAAAUGAAUUGUAUUAAACUAUAUAAUAUUGUUUCCAUUUUAACAUAUUAUAUCUCUCUGACAAAGAAGACAUUUUAUUACUCAGCAUUAGUCAUUAGAAACAUAUUCUCAUACUAACCAUAAAUAAGCAAAGUAGUUGAAUUUAAAACUAAUUGUUUUUUAAGUUUAUUCAGGGAUAUCCAAAAAAUGCUAGCUUAUACAUCCAUUUUCAAAAUAAAUAAGUAUUUAUAAAAUAGUAUGCUGUACAUUUAUAAAUUAUACUUAUAUUAUGUUAUUCCAUAUAAAAUUAGCAAUAAUCAAAUUUUUCUUCUAGUUUACUAUUAUUUGUAAACCAAACAAAAUACAGUAGAUCUGAUUUUACAGUAUCUUUUUAUUAUUAUAUUAUUAUCAUAUUUUUUAUUGUUGUGAUAAAGUUAUCAAUAUUUAGGCUCUGUUUAUGCUUUCUUGUUAAACUAGUUAGGUUUUUGUAACAAAGUUGUAUGUUAUCGUUUAUUGGACUUGUGAUUAUAAUGUGGACUUACCGAUAUACCUUCUCAAACACCUGAUUUAAAAGUAAUUUGUUUGUUGGUAUUCUUAUUUUUGAUUACAAUAGUGUUAUAUAAGAUAAUUUGUACUUAGAAAUAAUAUUUAUUUGUUGCUCAAAAAAAAGUUAUUUGGUAAUAUUAUUAUAUUAUUAUUGUAUGUGAAGAUUACUAUUUUUUUAGAUUUAAUAUAUUGUAUAUAUAUAUAUAUAUAAUAUUAUUUAUUACAUAUACAAAUAUACC